GAACCCGAGCUUCAACUCUCACUGCCUUCCUGCUUGGUUUUGAGGGAAGCACCUUCCCUCACUCCUCUCCCCAACACUUUUUUCUUUGUCCAAAUCUAUCUUUCUAUCUCCCCUUUCUCCUCUUUGUUAGCAAAUGUUAUGAACCUAGGUUAGUUGACCUGCUUGGUCUCCUUUUCUCCCAUAUCCCUACAGUAUCUCAUUCAUAUCGCACUUAUCCCCAGUCUUCUCAUGGAUUUAGAUAAAGGCACCACCUCAGAGGUCAUCUUGGCCAAUUUUACAGAUGUGCAGACUGUGGCCCAAAGAAGUAACUGUAACUUGGCCAAAGUCAUACAUGUAGUAGUAGGUAGUAAGAGGCAGAACCAAGACUCAAAUUCAGGUUGUCUAACUACCAAUCAAUAAAUGAGAGAGCUGUGAACUGACCCCAGAUUUUCUGACCAGAGAUGGGAAGAUGAGCUUUGUGGUCUCCCUGGCUCCCCACUUCCACCUGAGGCAAUCUAAGUGGGACUGAGUAACUCACUUGCUCCUAAAGGACACCAGUCUCCAUUUUUCAAAUGCCACUUGCAUUUCUUAUUAGAUGAAAAGAAAACCCUACUUAUAUCACCUCAGUGUCAUCUGGUCCAGUUCUCUCAAUAAGUCCUUAGUCUUCUUGGCCCCUUCUUCCCUAUCCCUCUACAAAAAUCCUCAAUAUAAAUUUCCAGGAAGGGGCAACUAGGUGGCUCACUGGACUGAGAGCCAGACCUAGAGAUGGGAGAUCCUGGGUUCAAAUCUGGCCUCAGGCCUUAUUAGGUGUGUGACCCUGGGCAUGUCACUUAAUCCCCAUUGCCAUAGACCAGUGAUGGUGAACCUUUUAGAGACUGAGUGCCCAAAUGGCAACCCUCAUAUGGCAUAUGAACCCCACCCCCAGACAGGAGAGGGAGGAAGUGUUCCCAUUGGGGCUGCUGGACAGAGGAUGGGCUCAGUGGACACGGGCAGAGGAGCAGCCCUCUCUAGCACCUAUGCCAUAGGUUUGCCAACAUGAUCCUAGAUCUUACCACUCUUCUUCCUUGUAUUGAUUCUAAGAUGGAAGGUAGGGAUUUAAAAAAAAAAAAGAUAAAUCUCUAGGGUAGGGGAAGAGGGGCUGGGAUUUGGGACCAUUUAAGGCUGACUUUUGUAGCUAGGUGACUCAAUGGAUAGAAUGCCAGGCCUAGAGCCAAGAAGACUUAUCUUUCUAAGUUCAAAUCUGGUCUCAGAUGCUUAAUAGCUAUAUGACUGGACCAGUCACUUAACCCUCUUUGCCUCCAUUCCUCAACUGUCAAAUGAUCUAGAGAAGGAAAUAGCAAACCAUUCUAGUAUCUUUGCUAAGAAAACCUCAAAUGGAAUUGAUGAGUGGAACAUGACUGAGCAACAAGGCUGUCUUUGGAAGCUCCUGCAGAAUGCACAAUUCACUAAAGGGAAGAGAACCAGGCUGGGAAACUAGAGACCUCCCACUGUUCUGCCUCAAGAUCAUUCAAAAAUUGUGGCUUUGGACCAGAUCUGUGAUUUCACUGGGAUAGGGAAUUUCAGGUGAAGAAAGUCUUCCCACCAAUGCAAGAAGGCAUAAAUUAUCAAGUAUUGAACUCCUGGAGUUUCUUUUUUUGUGCCUUCCACGUGAGCCAAGUUUGCCACUUUGCCUGUAACCCAGGGGUGCCCUAAAACUGCCCUGUGGUCAGUCUCUUCUUGGGAUCCAGGGUGAGGAUAUUUGGCCCAUGACCAGAGAUGAGCAAAGAUACAGAAUUCCCAGAAUGCCAAGACCGAUAAGGAGGACUUCAGGGAGUGUCCGAUCCACUGCAGUCCUGCCAAGGAAUGGCCUUUAACACGCCUAACAAGCAGAGGUCAUCCAGCCUUUGCUUGAAAACUCAUUUUGAAGGGGAACUCAUUACCUCCCGAGACAGCCCAUUCACUCUUAGGUAGUAAUAGAUGUUGGGAAGGGUUUUCUUGUUUCAAGCCUGGCUCUCCCUUUCAGCCUUUUCUAUCUGGUGCUCCUCAUUCUGCUCUCUGGGGCCAAAUAGAACUCUUCCACCUGGCAGUUCUUUGAAUAUUUGAGGAUCAAAACCAUCUCCUCUCCUCCUGGGCUCUCCUACUCCACAACCCCAGAUCCUUCCACUGACUUUCCAAGAAGGGAUAGCCAUUAGAGUCUUAGGCAUACAGUCAGAAAGACCUGAGUUUGAAUCUUGUCUCAGACACUUACUAGCUGUAUGGGCAAGUCAUUUAACUUCUCUUUGACUCAAUUUCCUUAUAUGUAGGAUGCAGAUAACAGCAGUACCAACCCUCAUAGGUGUGCUAUGAGGAUCAAAAUGUAUGUGAGUCACUUUGUAUUUUCAGCCUAAAAACACUUAUAGGGGGCAGUGAGGUGGUUCAGUGGAUAGAGAGCCUGACCUGGAAAUGAGAGGUCUUGUGUUCAUAUCUGACCUCAGACACUUGCUGACUAUAUGGCCCUGGGCAAGUCACUUGAACCCCAUUGCCUAGCUCUUAUCAUCAGCCCAAUCAAUACUUAGUAUUGAUUCUAAAACCAAAGGCAAGGAUUUUUUAAAAAUUUCUUUAAAGCAGUAUUUAAAUAUUAGCUAUUAGUAAGGUAGCAGGGGCAGAUUUUGAACCCAGGUCCUAUGACUGUAAAUCAGUGUCCUUUCCUACUUUAACAUGCUCCAUCUAUGAAAGUGACUGGAGGAGAGAGAUUAAACAGAGACCAGACUUUAGUCACCAAUUCAAUGGCAAGAGAAAAGGGGAAAGUAAAUUAGGCAUUUCAGAGAAUCACAUUUCUCAGCCUUGCCUAGCUAAUCAGACUUAGGGACAACCAAAGGUCAGGGGGCUCAGGGCUUUGACUGGAACCUUCCUGACAUGCCAGAAGAUUCAGAAGGGAAAGUCUGGGAGCCAAGGUCAAGGUGCCCUCGUCAUUUUCGGAGCAGCUGGUGCCCCUGGAGGAGGACUGAGAUUUGGGGAAUGUAGGGCACAAAGACUAAAUAUCCUUCCAGCUGUUCAUUCAACCGCACAUCCACAGACUGGAGGCCAUCAAAGGUUUCGGUUAGAGUCUGCCUUAGCCUUCAAGACCCAAACUCUGUGCUGAUACAGCCCCAUAAAUGGGUGCAGGCUCAUGGUCUAAAGAAAGCAGCCACAGACAUUACCCAAAUCAGUGCUAGAAUCUUAGAAACAGAUUUCAGAAUUUCAAAUCUUAGACUUGAAGAAUCAGAAUCACGUCCUCUUAGAACAGCGGACACAAUCACAGGAUUAAGGUUCUGAGCUGGAGGGAACCUUCGUGCAUAUUGUUGAACUCUUAUGUUUUGUCUUAAUAACAACUCUUAAGACAAAAGGACAAGGGCUAGGCAAAUGGGGUUAAGUGAGUUGCCCAAGAUCACAUAGUUAGGAAGUGUCUGAGGCCAGAUUUGAACCCAAGUCCUCUUGACUUGGUGUUCCAUUCACUAGCACUCUUUGUGUAAUCUUUUGUUUUUGUUUUAAUUUUUUUUCGGUUACAUAUAGAAAUAUUUUUUGACCAUUGCUUUCUGAUAUUUUGUGAUUUAGAUUUUCUCCCUCCAUCUCCCAGCCCCCAGUCUGAAAUAGGUGAUAUCAGUGCUUUCAGUAAUAUAUAUUUCAUAUUGCUCAUGCCAUGACAGAAGACACAUAUCACAUAUACAUUUAAAAACUCACCUUCAGGUAAUAUGAGAGAAUUUUAGAAUCAGAGAAAAUCAAGAAACCUGAAUCUUAGAAUUCCCAAAUCUUAGAACAUGGAGUAACAGCUAGCUAGUGCUUUGAGACUGACAAAGCACUGGGCAUUUGUUAUAGUGUUUCAUCCUCGCAGCAACCCUGGGAAGUAGGGGUUAUUAUUAUCUCUAUUUUACAGAUGAGGAAAUGAAGUUGAGAGACUCACACAGAGAGUGAGGCAUAUUUUGAACUUGAGACUUUAUGAUUUUAGAAGCAUGAAAUCUUUGAAUCAGAGAUGUAAGGAACCUUAGAAAUUAGAACAGAAUAAAAGCCUUAGACUUAUAGACUACAAAAACCAGGAGCACUGACUCGGAAUUUUAGGCAAGUCAAGUCAACAAGCAUUUAUUAUGAUUAUUUAAAAAACCCGUACAUUCUGUCUCAUAAUUAAUACUAUGUAUUGGUUCCAGGGCAGAAGAACAGUAAGGACUAGGCAAUGGGGUGGUAGAGCUAGGACUUGCCUGGGGUCACAUUUGAACCCAGGACCUCCCAUCUCUGGGCCUGGUUUUCUAUAGACUGUGUUACCUAGCUUCCCCUGGGCUUCUGACUUUCUAGAUAUCAAUACCAUACAUCUUGAGCUGGAGGGAACCUUCGUGCAUAUUUUUUAACCUUUAUCUUCCUUAUCUUGGAACAUUCAACCAUCUGGCCAGCCAAAGGGAACUGGUGAGUUCCCUUUGAGGCUUCCGUUUUGGAGAAGGGUCCAUACUGCCAGGGCCAAUCUGGAUACCCUUCCCAGCUGUGCUCUUCUACCUUGGAGCCAAUACUUCAGUAGUGAUCCUAAGACAGAAAGUAAGGGUUGUUUAAAAAAACAAAACAAAAGAAGAGCUCGAUGACUUGAAAGGAAUGGAGUUUUCUCUUUGGAAAUCAAGGAUCCUUGAUCCCUGCCAUUGAUGGUGGGGCAUCAGUACACAGAAAUCCAAUGGUACAUAUCGUUGGAUUUUAUAUAAAUAUGUGCGUAUAUAUGUGUGUGUGUGUGUAUACAUAUAUGUAUGUACAUAUAUAAAAUGGGGAGCAAUUGUGCCAUUACAAAAAAGAUUUCCCAGAGGAUCCCCUGUAAACAGCGUGUUCCUUUCAUGCAUUUAAAGUAGGAUUUAAUUUCAGGGGGAAAAAAUUCAAUUUAUCCACAGCUUUUUGGGGACUUGUCCAUUAUGUCAAGUGAGGUCUGCCUGUAAUUAAAGGGGACAUAACACCUGUGCAGCUGCUUGCCUUUGUAUAUUUCUAAAGGAUCUCAAAGCUCUGUGCCCUCAGACACAAUCUCACUGACACUAGUUAUGUGUCAAAUGGCUGUGGUAAUCAAUUAAACCAGCCUGAGGAGGCUACCAUGUUUUGGAUGCCACAUGGCAAAAAUGUUCCAGGUAGCUCAGGAGACUCAUACUAUCUCCCUGUUUUGUCUUCUCCUGUCCAUCAAGAAUGUUGUAGAGGAGAUCCCUGCUCUGAGAGUGGGGUGGGGUCUGUAUUAGAAGACUUCCACUUGCUCUUCCAGCUCAGAAGAGUCUCUGACUGUGUGUUUCAGCUCCUGAGAUUCUACUCUUCUGGUCCAGCUUUUAAGAGUCUAUGCUUCCCCUGGGAAUACUCAUGUGACCUGGGGCAGUGAAAGAAGGAGAGAACAAGGAUAACAAUUCGUACAAAAACAAUGUCAUUGUAAAAAGGAACAACUUUGAGAGCCUUAAAGACCUCUGAUCGACAAGGAACAGCGAUGAUUGCAGAAGGCAUUAUGAUGAAGCGGGCUAGCCACCUCCAGAGACAAAGAGACAAUGGAUUAAGAUGCAAGAUGAAACACAUAUUUUUGGACAUGACCAAUAUGGGAAUUGGUUUUGCUUGACUAUGUAUAUUUGUUACAAGAGGUUUCUUUUUUUUUUUUCAUGGAGAGAGGGAUGGGAGAGGACAAAAAUUAACGUUUCAUCAUUGAAAAAAUUAAUUAAAAAAUUUCAGUUUCAAAAUUCUGACUCUGAUUCCAAAUUUUUCUGUUUCUCACUCCAAGAUUCUAUGAUCCUAAGAAUCUAUAAGAGAAUUCUUUCAUUCUAAGAAUCAAUGCUCCCCAUUGCACAUACUGUCAGACUGUUGGUCUGUAAUAAAGAUUUAAAAAUAAAGAUGGGAGACAGAGAAAGCAGUUCAACAAAACCAACUAGGUAACCACAUCAAACAUGUAGAUUUGCUGAACUGCCCUUUUUUCUCCCCUCCCCCUUUCCUUUUUUCUUUUUCUUUUUUUCUUUUUGUUACAAGGGAUGGCUCAUUAGGUAACAGAGGAGACAGAAGGAGAUAUACAGAAAUGAAGGUGCUAUAAAAACAAAAUAUAUCAACAACAUUUUAAAAAAGAUUUGUUGUUUCAGAUUUUAGGCAAGAUGUGAUGAUUCCAAGAUUCUAAGUUUUAGAUUCUCUGUUCCAGAUUUUUAAGAUUUAAUAACUCUCAGAUGCAAUAUUGUGGUUUUGAACACUUCAUGUCCCCAAUCCUAAAAUUCUAUAAUGAUAACAUUAUAGAAUUCUCUAAUGGAAUUUUACCUCCAGAGUGAAUAUGAAGACUUCAGAGAAGAAUGGGAAAGUUUAUGUGAAUUCUUGUGGAAUGAAGUAAUCAGAAAAAGGAACCAAGAGGGGGGGGAAUGCAGAAUCAGGAAAACAAUAAAUGCGACCAUAAGUAUAAGAAAGAGAAAAAAAUCUCAUUCAGGAUGCUCUGUAGCUAUAAUGGCCAAGCUUGUUCCAGAAGAAGACUUGGGACGCUGUGUCGUCCCCCUUUCUUUGCAGAAGUGGGGGUCUCUAGGUGUGGAGAAUUACAUAUUUUGUCAGACAUGAUUGGUACAGCUAUCUAGCUGCUUUUGCUGACCUGCUUCCCCCUGCCCUCCCCCCACCCUUCGGUUUAAUUCUUUGUUGCACGGGAUGGCUCAUUAGGUAGGAGAGGGAGGUGGGAUUAUUCAGAAACGAAGGUGACAUAAAAAACAAAACACAUUAGCAAUAAAAACAAAA